UUUAAAGUCCUGCACAAAAAAUAGUCAAGCUGGGUUUAUUUUAAUGUUCUGGACUAAGUUUGUAAAUGUUGCUUCCAUAGCUGAUGGCUGACAAGGGAUCCAGGCUUCUGCAGGUAUUGAGACAUGGACCCAGAGGGAUUCCAGUCCACUAGGAAAUUAAUGUGGAUUUUAGGAUGCUGAAAAAUAAUGCAUGUCGGUUAGUCAGGUCUGAAUGCCAAAUGCAUAUCUUAGACAUUGUAGCUCUGUGUUUCUGUGGAUAAAGUUCCAUUCCUUUUUAUCCUAACUUGCUCUAUCAAUAAAAAAUCCCCAUUUCAAGUAUGAAUGCCAUUGCUUAAUAGCUAUAUCAAAUCUCUUUCUGUUUCAGAACUAUUCUAAUCUUUCCACAUUCUCAUCAGUGGAAAUGGUCUCACAUAUGUCCAAAUUUCUAGCCUACUUUAGUAUGUGGAGAUUAAUUCUAAAAUAUGACUAUGUGAAAGAGGAUUUCUGUCAAUAGAGAAUAGUACAGGAGACUAGACUGAUUGUAACCUUUUUAAAGCUGCACUUAUCAUUAACUUUUGUACUGAGAGUCAAUUUUUUCAACACCAGAGCCUUCAAAUCUGGGAGCUGACGCUGCUUAGCAGCUUACUGGAGAAAAAUACAAAGCUUCAGAAUCAAAUCCCUUGUUUUUGGAGAAUGAUCCUCUCACAGCAGCAAAUGCUUAGCUGUAUGUUUGAAUAUAUUUCAUUGUAGAUAAUUUAAGAUAUUCAGAAAGAGUUGGUUUUAUGUUGUCUGUGACUACCAAUAGCAAAUUCCUUUCUUAUCUGUGCAUUGUAAAUAUUUAAAAUGUGGAAAAAAAGCAUCUCUUUUUCUUCUGAUUUCCAUUCAGCACUUUUACUAUCACCUUUUUAGGUGUGCUGUAGUUUAUAUUCAAUGAGUACGAUUGCUAUAGGAUACAAACCAAUAGGUAAAGCAUUUUAGCAUUUAUCUGUUUUCUAUAAAAAAGACCUGGUUUUUCUCAUAUGCUGUUUACAGUCUGUGUCUCCUCUUGGAAGAACUGUGCAUGGAUGUAAAAUACCAAAGUAUAAUGCUAACCAAUUGCACUGAUUUUUUAUAAUCCAGAAAAAUUAAAGCAGUUUGACACAAAUUAAAGUUGCUACUGCAGUGUUUCUGUAGGGAGACAGAUUAAGGUGUUACAGAAAUGCAGAAAACACAAAGAAAUUGAAGACAGUGUGCUGAUAACAAAACAAAUAAUUAAGUAGAAAUGAGCUCCUGCUAUAUCUGGGUCUUGUUCCCUCACCUACUAAGUGCAAAGAUCAAGGCUUAAUUUAUAGUUGGGUUAGUAAGUAUUGAGUGUGUAGUAUAGAUUCCCUACUGUGUCUUACACAGAUUUAACAGAAAUGGUCAUAAAUCGUGAUGGAUUAAAAAAUUCCUCCAUUCUGAAAUCCCAAAACACAACAUUUUCUGUUGCUGUACCUGAUUUUAAGCAGAGGUGAGGCAGAAGCUUUGCUCUCUCUCAGUCUGCUAUGGCUCAAAUUAAAAAUGUCGCAAAAAUUAGCACCACCUUUUCAAAUGCUGUAGACUACUUGUUUUCAUUCUAAGAAAAGGCAGAAAUAAUAGCAUCUGAAUAGGUGCUGAGCUAUUUUAAAGACAGUGCUAAGGCAUGGUUUUACAAAGUCUGUCUAUAGAGACCACAGGACUUUGGCUUGUAAGGAACAUUGAUAAAUUACUGUUGUUAAGAGAUGGAACCUUUCACAUUCAGAAACUCUACCAGACAGUUCCCUUGUUACACCAUCAGACAGUUUGCUCUGGAAAAGGGUGUUCAUCAUUCAAGGCCUGAUCUCACAGUUAAUUUGCCUAUUCUCUGCCUCCAUGUGUGGUGUUAUCAUCCCAAUGAGUCUUCAGAACAUGAAUUAUCGUUUGACCAUUUUCAAAAUACUUCUUGCCGAAACAAUUUCCUUUAUUCGUGGCUUUCUAUUGGGAAACACUUAAUUCCAUGGAGAUUGUGGGGCUCCCUGAGUCAAACAUGGCUGCAGCUACAAAAUCUAUGCAGCGUUUCUUCUCACUAGAAUGAAAAUACUGCAUAUUUCAAGAAAGUUAAAAGUAGAUGUCCUGAGGUUUAUUCACAGGUCUGAUACUCAGAAAAUCAAGUUGAAUUUUUUUGCCAUUAAAUCUUUUCAUCUCGUUACAAAGAACACAGCCAGCUUUUUCAGCCUCCACAACAGAGACAAUAUAUUUUCUUCCUCCUAACUGCUAUUUAUCUUGUUUGCAAACUUCAGUUAUAAACUUCUUGGGUUUGUUAAUGGGUGCCUGACUGUUUGUACAGAGCCUGGGACAGGGAUCUGAUUGAGACUUCAGGAAGUCACCAGACUUCAAACAACAGCAGUAACAUUCUGGUAUGAGUCAACUGCUGAAAAUGCUCCUGUAAGGAACUGGUUAAUUAAAGUCUGCCAUUACUGUGACUUUGUUCCAUCACAACAACUGUUUUGUGCCUGAAUCAUGGGUUACAUGUAGCAUGCUCUUGUUAAAUUAAAUGUACUUUUGCCAAAGAGUAACAAUUUUUGAUACAUGCUUCUUACAUUUUAUCUGUUCUCACUCAGAGAAGUUUCCCACUGAUGUUUUUCUGCUUCAAAUAAUCCUAGAGUCAUCGUUGAGCUGCAGUGGUAGGAUUGGAUGCAAGAAGAUAAAGAAUUACUUCGUCCUAAAGUUACACAUGGAUAAGACCUCUUUUCAAUAUCAUAUCCUUCUGUCUUUCAUGCUUUUCAAAGAUGUUUGACAUUAAAAAGAAAGCCAGAAGAAGAAAAUAUUAAGCCAGAGAUAAUUUCUAUUUUGAAAUAAAGAAUCAAAAUUAUUAGUAGUAAUAUAUGAGAUGUAGCUAGACUAAUUUGUUUCUAAAUCUCUAGCCAGUAUAUAUGAAGCUAUGAUUAAGUUCCACUAUUUUCCAAAACAUUACUAAAAAUACUUAAGGAAUAUAACUAAAUAAAUAGCAUUUUAAAAACCCCAAAUAUUUUGAUGUGUUACCUUGGAUUUGAGAGCAGUAACUUCCUUUGCCCAUAUCCUGUUGUGACGACAGAAGGAUGUUUUCAAAAGACAAAAAAAAAAAAAAAAAAAA
rnacentral:lncRNA from 1 species